GACGAACGCUGGCGGUGUGCUUAACACAUGCAAGUCGAACGGUAAGGCCCUUUCGGGGGUACACGAGUGGCGAACGGGGGAGUAACACGUGAGUAACCUGCCCUCAUCUCUGUGAUAACAGUCGGAAACGGUUGCUAAUACUGGAUAUGAGCUUGCAAGGCAUCUUGUGGGUUGGAAAGAUUUUUUUUGGUUGGGGAUGGACUCGCGGCCUAUCAGCUUGUUGGUGAGGUGGUGGCGCACCAAGGCUUCGACGGGUAGCCGGCCUGAGAGGACGACCGGCCACAUUGGGACUGAGAGACGGCCCAAACUCCUACGGGAGGCAGCAGUGGGGAAUAUUGCACAAUGGACGGAAGUCUGAUGCAGCAACGCCGCGUGCGGGAUGACGGCCUUCGGGUUGUAAACCGCUUUCAAUUGUGACGAAGCUUUUUUGUGACGGUAGCAGUAGAAGAAGCACCGGCUAACUACGUG
rnacentral:rRNA from 1 species